ACAUCUCAAGACAUCCGUCAGGAAGUUAAAGCUUGGUUGCAAAUGGGUCUUCCAAAUGGACAAUGACCACAAGCAUACUUCCGAAGUUGUUGCAAAAUGGCUUAAGGACAACAAUGUGUUUGUCAAUGGCCAUCAUCAGUGAAUCCAUGUGACACACACCUGAGGAGAGUUUGGAGAGUCUCGUUGUCUUUGGGUCCUCUUUGGUUCUCUCUGUCUCCGCUCGUAGUCCCCCACUCCUGGCACAGGAACUGCCGGGCUAGGGUUGCUAGAGGCAGAGACUGUUAUAUACUGAACAGAUCCUCAUUGAAAACAAAUGCAACUUUUCAGAAUAUAAUUACAUCUUUGGAAUUGAUUGGAUUGAAAUGGAAUUGAUCCUGAUACAGUCCAUUUUACUGUUGCAUCAAUCCUAUAGACAUUGAUUUAGUGUGUGUCUUACCAGUCUGCUCCCUGUAUGUAGCCUGGUGCCCUCCUCUCUCAGCCACAGUGGUGAGCAGCUGGGAGAGACACAGAGCUAUGCUGAGGCUGGGCACUGUACUGCGGAAGUUCAGCAGGUACUCAAAGCUGUGUCUGAAGACCAGAGAGAUAAGGGAGAACCGCUUUACCAUACUUGUCACACACACAACACUGGCUGUGAUCUGACAGGGAAUGUUUCACCUCUCAAUUGAUGAGCUGGUCCAAGGUCAGUUCCCUCUUUCAGGCGGUCAGCCAGCACUCCCAGAGCUCUCUUCAGCAGGCAAUGGCCAUUGGGUGUCAGUAUACCACAGACACUGGAAAGGGGAAUUUACUUUAUAGGGGAGACCCAACCAUCUUGUAACCUCAUUUAUUGUAGCUCUUCUCCUGCUAUUGUGGUUUCCAUGCUCCCACUGGCUGUAAGGUGAAUAAUACUAUUCUGAGUGUUCAUGGUGUUUUUGUUCCCUUCUCCUCCUCUCUGUAAUAUUUACCUGGAGCACACUGAUGAUGUUCUGAAGGCAGUGGAGGAGAUAGCUGGAGAGGGCAUCCCUGAGCUCCUUAACGCAGCAGCCAAAGACGCCAGCUCUAGAACUUAGCCCACGCUCAACAGAUGUUUGACAACAGACCUGUGCUCAAUGUGUGCCUGAAGGGUGAGGAGAUCCUCUCUCAACGCUCAAAGGGGAGUUAUGAAGAGGAGGAAGGCUCGCUGCUGCCUCAGGAGCAGUCAGAAGAUGAGGU